rnacentral:rRNA from 1 species
UACGGAGGAUCCGAGCGUUAUCCGGAUUUAUUGGGUUUAAAGGGUGCGUAGGCGGUCUGAUAAGUUAGAGGUGAAAUGUCGGGGCUCAACCCCGAAACUGCCUCUAAUACUGUUGGACUAGAGAAUAGUUGCGGUAGGCGGAAUGUAUGGUGUAGCGGUGAAAUGCUUAGAGAUCAUACAGAACACCGAUUGCGAAGGCAGCUUACCAAACUAUAUCUGACGUUGAGGCACGAAAGCGUGGGUAGCAAACAGG